GCCGAGAUAGCUCAGUUGGUAGAGCAGAGGCCUGAAAAGCCUUGUGUCGACAGUUCGAUUCUGUCUCUCGGCA
rnacentral:tRNA from 1 species